AAUAAAUUUUCGCUUUUAGAAGAGCCUCUUCGGGGAGGUAGUAGGAGAGGUAAAAGCUCAACUAGCCAAAGAUCCGUAGUCGUAUCUGAGAGGAUGAUCGACCACAUUGGCUCUUAAACAACAGCCAAAUUAGAGCUAAGCUUUAAUCAGCAGUGAGGAAUAUUGGUCACUGACCGCAAGGUUGAACCAGCUAUCUAGAAGGGUGAAAACUAAUUAAGGAUAAAACCCGCAAAAAGAGAGGAUAAUGACGAUAUCUUUUUAAAUAGUCUCGACCAAAUCACGUGCCAGCAGUCGCGGUAAAACGUGGGAGGCAAGCGUUAUUGAUCAUAAAUGGGUCUAAAGGGUCCGUAGAGUCUUAUAGAAGAACAGAAGAAUUGCAAAAUGAAGGAUGAAAUCUAUUGAUAUUUGCAGGACUGGUAAUGGCGAAGGCAUCGUUCUAGGUAAAGACUGACGUUGAGGGACGUAGGCGUUGGGAGCAAAAAGGAUUAGAUACCCCUGUAGUCAACGCUGUAAACGAUAAGUGCUUAUUUGAGAAGGUCAAAUUCUUAAAUGAAAUGAAGAUGUUAAGCACUUCACCUGGGCAGUACUGUCGCAAGGCUGAAACCCAAAACAUUAGACGGUCACGGAAACCAGCAGUGAAGCAUGUUAUUUAAUACGANNNNNNNNNNNNNNNAAAACACAGGCGUUGCAUGGCUGUCUUCAGUUCGUGUCGUGAGAUGUCAGGUUCAUUCCGCUAAACGAAUGAAACCCUUUUUUCUUAAUUUUAUUUCUUAAAUUAUAAAAAUGAAAUCAUUAAGAUAAUCUUUGGAUAACGAAGAUAUAAUGGGGAUUAAGACAAGUCGUCAUGGCCUUUAUGAAAGGGGCUAUAGACGUGCCACAAAAACUUUGACAAAGGGAUGCAAACCAUUAUAAAGUGAGCUAAACCUAAAAAAAAGUUAUGUUCGGAUUAGAGUCUGCAACUCGACUCUAUGAAGUAGGAAUUGCUAGUAAUCGUAAAUCAGCACGUUACGGUGAAGUUUUAAAUCUGUGAUGUACUAACUACUCGUCAAGCGCGGAAAGGUGCAUGGCCCCGAAGAGGUUCUUUUUUAAAGAGAGUUCUUUUUCUGCUUUAAAAAAGGGUUUCGAUUGGUUGGUGCCGAUUCGUGUUAAGUCGAAAUAAGGUAGGUGUAGGGGAACCUGUACCUG
rnacentral:rRNA from 1 species